UGAAUCCCUUGGCUCAACCAAGGAAGGGCAUUUGAAACUGUCUGGCUUGAGUACGGGAGGGGGAAGCGGAAUUCCCGGUGUAGAGGUGAAAUUCGUAGAUAUCGGGAGGAACACCGGUGGCGAAGGCGGCUUUCUGGACCGAUACUGACGCUGAGACGCGAAAGCGUGGGGAGCAAACAGGAUUAGAUACCCUGGUAGUCCACGCCUUAAACGUUGGGCACUAGGUGUUGUGGGUAUUGACCCCUGCAGUGCCAAGGGCGAAUUCCACAGUGGAU
rnacentral:rRNA from 1 species